UGGGGAAUAUUGGACAAUGGGCGAAAGCCUGAUCCAGCCAUGCCGCGUGUGUGAAGAAGGUCUUCGGAUUGUAAAGCACUUUAAGUUGGGAGGAAGGGCAUUAACCUAAUACGUUGGUGUUUUGACGUUACCGACAGAAUAAGCACCGGCUAACUCUGUGC
rnacentral:rRNA from 1 species